rnacentral:rRNA from 1 species
UACGUAGGAGGCAAGCGUUGUCCGGAAUUACUGGGCGUAAAGCGUGUGUAGGCGGGCGGGCAAGUACCUUGUGAAAUCCCACGGCUCAACCGUGGAACGGCUGGGUAUACUGCCUGUCUUGAGCCAACUAGGGGCGAGCGGAACAGACGGUGGAGCGGUGAAAUGCGUAGAUAUCAUUUGGAACGCCAAUGGUGAAAACAACUCGCUGGGGGUGUGCUGACGCUGAGACACGAAAGCCAGGGGAGCGAACGGG